UAAGAUGGGCAUUUUGGCCGAGGCACAGUAAAGGUCGGGCAAAUCAUCAGUUCGCAGAUGACAUCUCGUACUGGUAGGUAUAGCUAGCUGAAUCCCUUGGCCGCGAAUAGACAGCACCAACCUCCAUUCCAAGCCCCAACGCGAAUUGAUAUUACCAACCUCCACUCCAAGCUCCACCGCCGGGAGGAAGAACCCUAGCCGCCCUUCAAGGCCCCUGUUCCCCACGCCGCCUCUGGACGGACCUGCGAAUAAAACUGUGAAUGUUCGCUUACACCUGAUGCCCUCCUACGCACAUAAUGAGGUGUAACUAUUUUUCUACUCUUGAGACUGAAGGUUUAUAACCACUAUUUGAGUGGACUUUUAGUCUGGAGUAGGGUGUAGCUGCACUUGUUUGUAUCCUGAGACAGCAAGUUUGCAGAUAGAACCUUGAACUAGCUCCUCUGUCACCUGUAUCAACUCGAGUGUCCUUGGAGAAGCUCCUGCAAGCAACAUUACCAAUUUGCUUGGAUCCUUUCUCAUGGGAAAUAUUGUCAACACUGUUAGAAGAUUAGUGAAUGUGAUUUCUGAGGGCUUAUCUAGUACAGUAUCACCUAAAGAGAACUGUUCUACAGACGCUGUGGUUGCUAAGGGUUUGGAACGUGGUCCAGCCAGGGAUACACAUAAGAGCAAAGAGUUGAGACCGCACAGUGUUCCUUCUGGAAAUAAUUUGUUUCACUGCGAUGCUUAUGAGAAAUUGAUCAACGGUGAGCUUAAUUUAGGUUGUAGAAGCAGUCCUGAAGCUUCAGAGGACUAUAAAAUGAUACCAAAUGCAGAUAGAGCAGUGUCUGGUCCUUUGGAUGUGAGAGGUUGUGAAAGUACCCCUAAAGCUUUGUUAAGGAGACAAGCCGAGCAGAAAAUAACUAAUGAGAAAGCAUCAAUUCAGGCGAUGGUGCCAACUGGAACUUCAGCCUCUCCAGAUGUGAAACAUCCUAAAACGGUGCUAUCUCCGCUUACCCGCAGUCGCAGUAAGGCUAUGGCUGUUUCCACACCUGAACAUCUCAAACUGAGAAACGCCAGAUCAGGUCAACUAGUAGUUCCACGGUUGGAUUCAGGAAGCCAAAAAAUUAUCUAUGACGUGGCAGAAGUACCUAUCACCCCAUUGGUGGAGCAAAGUUCUGCAGGUAAAGCGUUGCCGAGUACACCAUCACAAAUGAUCAAAACUCCAAUUCCAUAUGGACGAUCUCCACUUCCUCGUAAUAAGGAUAAGGUGUUAUCUGUUGCCACGCCCGAAACUCCCAAACUGAGAAGCUCUAGAUCAGGAAUGGGACAUUCUUUUCAGGUCGACUGAUAGUUCCACGUUUGGAUCCAGGAACACAAAAUAUUAUCUAUGACGCGGCAGCAUCUGAUUCGCGGUACCGAUUCGGUUAAGUGAGUUAACUGGGAGUGUUGAUUUGGCGAUCUCUAUUUAAGUGAUCUAAUCUGGCCCUCGGCGUGGAAUCGUACAACAGUGGAUGAAUGGGCCAUAGAGACUCGCCAGAGAGGAAAACUACAGCGGCACGCGGCUCGGGAGUCCUUGAUGUCGUCAACCGAGCGGUCAACAACGACGAUGCGCUCGUGGACGAGGUAUGGAAUGGGAUGGCGAGGUCGAGGCUCGUCUUAGAGAACUUGGGAGGUCCUCUGGUGCCGGGGAAGAGUGACUGGAGUUCGCCGGAGCGGAGGUGGAGCUCGGGCUUUGUGGUUUGCGUGCUCCAUGCUCCAAGACAUCCUGGAGAGAAACCAAGGAUGGUUCUAUCUGCGGCGUAACCAACUCAGAGCUGCAACGGCUUCAAGGUCCAUCCUGAUUUAUCGUGUAUACAGGCUUCUCGGUUUUCAAGCCCAAGCUGAACCCAUGCAAAAUGCCUCGGGAUUCAGAGAUAACUAUUGCUUUUCCGUGUUCCUUCUGCUGGCAGGGUGCAAUUCGGAACCACCUGCUAAGAGGAGGUCUCGGUGUUCAUCCCCCGACCAUGGCAGGUCCUUGAUAUGGUUCAAGGGUUUGUGGUAAACUAUGGAGAUUAUUUUACCCUUCCACAAGAACCAUGAAGCAAAACUUCUGCCUUAACAUGUGACUGGUUCAGAUGGAGGGACUCGCCAUCAAAGUUCUCGCGCUGAGCAUUCCCCUGUUGCAAUUAUUUGUUGAAUGGAAGAAUGUGGGAAGUAACUUUGAAGAACUUCAAUAAUCUUGGAAGAAUGUGGGAAGUAACUUUGAAGAACUUGAAUGGAAGUAAUCUUUCAUGUUGUUUUUACUAUUACUAUAGUAACUACUCCCUCCAUUCACUAUUAUAAGUAUUUUUUUAUUCGGAUGUAUAUAGACGCAUUUUAGUAUGUUUGUUCACUCAUUUCAGUUCAUAUGUAGUCCAUAUCGAAAUAUGCAAAACAUCUUAUAUUUGUGAAUGGAGGGAGUAGAUGAUAUCCCACACCUUGCUGCAGGACUUGAUAGAAAUAUAUAAUCAAUGAGAUUUGCUUACAUGUAA